ACAAUGAUGAUGUCACUGAUUCUACUGCUGGCCACCCUGGGGCUCCUUGUUCAGGAUUCAUCAGGAGAAAUCAUCCUGACUCAGUCUCCUGGAUCUCAGUCUGUUGUUCCAGGACAGACUGUCUCUCUCAGAUGUAAAGCCAGUUCAAGUAUGAGUAACUACCUUCACUGGUACCUUCAGAAAGCUGGAGAAUCUCCUCAACUUUUUAUUAGUUAUGCUACAACCCGUCAGUCUGGAGUUUCAGAUCGUUUCAGUGGGAGUCAGUCUGGAACUGACUUCACUUUGACCAUCAGAGGAGUCCAGACUGAAGAUGCAGGAGUUUAUUACUGUCAGCAGGGUGGUCACAGCUUCCCGUUCACACAGUGAUACAACGUCGUACAAAAACCUCCCUCAGCUGGAGAGGAACUGAUCUGACUCACCAGCUGCACAGAAAUGAAAACACUAGAUGUUUAAAUAUUAAUACAGUAUAAAAGAAAUAACAGCAAAAUCAUGGAAAUACAGAAUAUGCAGAAGUAGUAUUUUUAUUGAUAGUGUUUUUUUAGAGAGGUGUCAAAACAGUAUAUCCAAAGCCACUUCUCAGUAAAAAGACAGUAAUGCAGUUUUUGAAAUAUUCACAAAAAAUAAUUUAAAGAUUUAUAAAAUUAAUGACAUGUGUUUCUCAGUGUCUUGAAAUGUUAUUUUCAAAGUAAUUCAACAUUUUAUUGAAACACACUGAGAGGUUACAAUAAUAAGAAAUGUCAUUUCGUGAGUUUUCCUUUGUUUUAGGUGAGUAUUUUAUUUAAAUUCAAUGCACUUCCAUGCGGAUUUUGUAAAAUGUGAAAUCACAUUUAUAUUUUGUUAUUUUGAUUGUUACGUCCCCGCUCGCUAGGGGUAGGGGAAACAUAAAGCAGAUGUUUUUGGUAAAAGUGUAAAUGUUAUUUAAUAAACGGGAAAAAGUUAAAACAAAAAGUCAAAACACAAACUGGGCAAGUGAGUGCUGCGUAAACCAAAGAACAAAACAGAACCAAAAGAGAUCCCUCCUAAACAAGGGAUUACUAACUAUGUUAGUAUUUUGUCUGCAGAUAAUAAAAUUUAAGAUAUAA